AGGGUAGUUUGGAGGACGAUGGGAUGUGUGUUUGGCACAGAUUUGUGCCCCGAUAACCUAUGGAAUUAUUUCUCCUGGUGCUAUAUCUUCUUACCUGAUGGGUCUAAGUUCUAUACGUUUGGUCUGGCUGCGAUUUGCUGGGCUAUGUGGAAUUGUCGUAAUCGGGCCACAUUCAAAUGCAAAAACCCGAGAACCCCUUUUGAUGUGGUUUUCUCUGCAUGUGGUUAUAUGAACUAUUGGGCAAGCCUGAUGGAGGGGACUGAUCGCGAGGCAAUGGAGCGCGGCGCCAAGAUGCUCAAGACCAACGCAGCGGCCAUGAUGAGGAUCUGUGUGGCCCUAGCUGGAACGGCGAUGGACUGA
rnacentral:rRNA from 1 species